rnacentral:rRNA from 1 species
CACGUAGGGCGCAAGCGUUGUCCGGAAUUAUUGGGCGUAAAGAGCUCGUAGGCGGUCUGUUGCGUCCGCUGUGAAAACUCGGGGCUUAACCCCGAGCCUGCAGUGGAUACGGGCAGACUAGAGGUAGGUAGGGGAGAAUGGAAUUCCCGGUGUAGCGGUGAAAUGCGCAGAUAUCGGGAGGAACACCGGUGGCGAAGGCGGCUUCCUGGCCUGUAACUGACGCUGAGACGCGAAAGCGUGGGGAGCGAACCGG